GGGUCAUUUCAAAGAGGGCUUGUUGGGCUAUAAAACCAAGAGCUCUUAACGCUGUGACCAAAGACUGAUGUUCUCCACAGGAUGACAUAGUCACUCAGUAGUGCUGUGUUUUUCUGAGGAGAUACAUUU
ensembl:snoRNA